CAAUAGCGUAUAUUAAAGUUGUUGCAGUUAAAAAGCUCGUAGUUGGAUUUGUGGCGUACGGUGUGUUCCGGGCACUUGUUGUCUGAGUAACCUGCUGUUGCCAUCCUUGGGUGGAACCUGUGUGGCAUUAGGUUGUCGUGCAGGGGAUGCCCAUCAUUUACUGUGAAAAAAUUAGAGUGUUCAAAGCAGGCUUAUGCCGUUGAAUAUAUUGGCAUGGAAUAAUGAGAUAGGACUUUUUUGCUAUUUUGUUGGUUUGCGCAAAGAGGUAAUGAUUAAUAGGGACAGUUGGGGGUAUUCGUAUUCCAUUGUCAGAGGUGAAAUUCUUGGAUUUUUGGAAGACGAACUACUGCGAAAGCAUUUACCAAGGAUGUUUUCAUUAA
rnacentral:rRNA from 1 species